CAGUCGCCGCGGUAAUACGGAGGGGGCUAGCGUUGUUCGGAAUUACUGGGCGUAAAGCGUGCGUAGGCGGUUUGUUAAGUCUGCUGUGAAAUCCCCGGGCUCAACCUGGGAAUGGCAGUGGAUACUGGCAAGCUAGAGUGUGUCAGAGGAUGGUGGAAUUCCCGGUGUAGCGGUGAAAUGCGUGGAGAUCGGGAUGAACAUCAGUGGCGAAGGCGGCCAUCUGGGACAACACUGACGCUGAGGCACGAAAGCGUGGGGAGCAAACAGGUUUAGAUACCCCUGUAGUCCCUGUCUCUUAUAC
rnacentral:rRNA from 1 species